rnacentral:rRNA from 1 species
AACGAACGCUGGCGGCGCGCCUAAUACAUGCAAGUCGAGCGAGAAGACGUAGCAAUACGUUUGUAAAGCGGCGAACGGGUGAGGAAUACAUGGGUAACCUACCCUCGAGUGGGGAAUAACUAGCCGAAAGGUUAGCUAAUACCGCGUACGCUCUUUGGACUUCGGUUCAGGGAGGAAAGCGAUACCGUGGGUAUCGCGCUCUUGGAUGGGCUCAUGUCCUAUCAGCUUGUUGGUGAGGAACGGCUCACCAAGGCUUCGACGGGUAGCUGGUCUGAGAGGACGAUCAGCCACACUGGCACUGCGACACGGGCCAGACUCCUACGGGAGGCAGCAGUAAGGAAUAUUGCGCAAUGGGCGAAAGCCUGACGCAGCGACGCCGCGUGGGGGAUGAAGGUC